AAUAGAUACCCGGGUAGUCCACGCCGUAAACGAUGAGUGCUAGGUGUUGGGGGGACCCCCCUCAGUGCCGCAGGUAACCCAAUAAGCACUCCGCCUGGGGAGUACGGUCGCAAGACUGAAACUCAAAGGAAUUGACGGGGGCCCGCACAAGCGGUGGAGCAUGUGGUUUAAUUCGAAGCAACGCGAAGAACCUUACCAGGGCUUGACAUCCCGCUGACCGGUGUAGAGAUACGCCUUUCCCCUUCGGGGGACAGCGGUGACAGGUGGUGGCAUGGUUGUCGUCAGCUCGUGUCGUGAGAUGUUGGGUUCAGUCCCGCAACGAGCGCAACCCUUGUUUCUAGUUGCCAGCACUUCGGGUGGGCACUCUAGAGAGACAGCCGGUGAAAGCCGGAGGAAGGUGGGGAUGGACGGUCAAAUCAUCAUGCCCCUUAUGUCCUGGGCUACACACGUGCUACAAUGGCUGGUACAAAGGGCAGCGAACCCGCGAGGGGGGAGCCAAUCCCAAAAAACCAGUCUCAGUUCGGAUUGCAGGCUGCAACUCGCCUG
rnacentral:rRNA from 1 species